AAAACAUAGCCCUAGAAAUUAUCUAAGGUGUAGCCUGCCCAGUGAUUAAUAAUCUUAAAAAUAAUAUUUUUAGUAAGUUAAUUAAAAGGAAGCGGUAACCUUGACUGUAGUAAUGUAGCGUAAUCAUUCGUCACUUAAUUAGUGAAUAGUAUGAAUGGCUGAACGAAUUUUCCACUGUCUUAAAAUUAUCCCUGUUAAUUUAAGAUAAUAGUUAAGACGCUAUUUAAAAUUGUUAGACGAAGAGUCCCUAUAGAGCUUAACUAUAAUCUACUCCUUAUAUUUAUUGCUAAUUUGGUGUAGAUUGGUAGUUUAAUUGGGGAGAUUACCUUUUAAAAAUAACAAAGGCAAACAAAAUUAAUAUUCUUUACCUUAAUUUAUUGUAUAAUCCAUAAAUUUAACAAUUACUAAAGUAGGUUAUAAUGACCCGUCUAACUCUUGCAAGCUUAGACGAUUAAUAAAUAAAAGCUACCUUAGGGAUAACAGGAUAAUUUUAACCGAAAGUCCUUAUUGAAGUUAAAGUUUGUCACCUCUAUGUUGAAUUAAGAUAUCCUAAUGAUGCAGAAGUCAUUGAUGGUAGGUCUGUUCGACCUUUAAAAUCUUACAUGA
rnacentral:rRNA from 1 species